GCAGAUCUCCUGUAGCCCUCGAAUCUCGCAGGAGUUAUUCUCAAAGCACUCAAACACGCCACAGCCGACGUCGCCUGCGCUCACCAAGCAGUGCUGGAUCUCAGCUGGAAUAAAAAGAACAGGUUGCAGGCGGUAGCAGCUGCGACAAAAAUGCAAGCAAGACACAAGUGGGAGUGAGAUGCAGACUUCAUUUCUUCUGGGGGAGCCCACUGUGCAUUCAUGUGUAUUGUGUGAGUAGCAACACGUGUGCAACAAACCAAGACGAUGAACAAAUGUAAACGGGAGCAAACUUGAUGAAAAUUGACUACUGGUCAUCCAUUUUCUGUUUCGUUCCAGUCACAAAUGGCAAGGACAAACCGCGAGAAUACUGUUGAAUGUGAAACUGCUGAAAGUCUUUCACUUAAGGUUUUGGGUUCUGCAUCACACCUGUUGGACCAGAGUCAAGCCUCAUUCAGGGCAAGUUAGUUUGAAGCUUUGCUUUGUGUGCAAAACAGCCAUGCAGAUUCCAGGUUUGUAGGCCUUAGAAGAACUUAAGUGCGCAGGAAAAGUGAGCCGUUGACGGCGGUGCUUGUUUUGGCAUCAGGGGAAUGUGCUUGGAUCGUACGAGCUUGGCUGCAGUGUGCAUUGAGUUACACGCUGCUGUUGCAAGAGUGGGGGGUGGGCUUCCACUCUCAAAUCUGCUGUGGAGUUUGUUGUUCUUAAUCAAGGAAAUUAGCCUCUAAUAAUAACAGCAAGCUAAUAAACCAGGCCUAAUAAAAUAACUGCCAGUGAGAUUGAAUGACUGGGGUCACAGUCACUAGUCAUAAAAUGUACGGGUGCAAGAUCAUAAGGAAAGCAUAGCGUUUUUAAGAAGUCGUACCAUCUUUGAAUCACAAAAAGUAUCAUCAUGCAUGAUCAAUUACCUCAGGUAGUGAUUUCUAACCAAUAUGCCAUGAGAAAUCAUCAAGUGUGCCACGGUAAACAAGCAAAUUAUUGCACAGAAAAUUACUGACCACAAAUAAUGCUUCAUUUAUCCAUCUUUGCUAGCAACAGGCAGAAAGAUGAAAUGAUUUUACACUAGACGUUAAAAGGUACAUAAUUAGCCUGUGUAUCCACGGUUGUCAACCUUUUUAUGUAUUGGUGUGCACUACGGAUGCUUUUUUUAAUGUAUCAUACGUGAUUUGACUCAAUAAAGGCUGGGAAACAUUUGACUUAGACCAAGCCAUUAAUAGUUUACCAACAUAUUAAAGUCCCUUUUACAAUUAUUUAGACAUCACGAUAUUGUAUGUCGAAUGCCUAGAAUACCGAUUCCAGUUUAAAGCAGUCCACAAAUGCUCAAAUGGCUGGACUCGACACCGACACUCCGCCUUAGACUCUCGGAAGCACGCGCACGAGGACACACGAACACGUACGCACGUGUCGAACAGAGACCACGUAGAGAGCCACUUAUACGGCAUUGCUAACCU